UACGUAGGGGGCGAGCGUUGUCCGGAUUCAUUGGGCGUAAAGAGCUCGUAGGCGGCUGCUCAAGUCGGAUGUGAAAACUCGGGGCUCAACUCCGAGCCUGCAUUCGAUACUGGGCGGCUUGAGUCUGGUAGGGGGAUCUGGAAUUCCUGGUGUAGCGGUGGAAUGCGUAGAGAUCUCUAAGAACACCAGUUGCGAAGGCGGCUGGCUGGGUCCACAUUGACGCUGAGGCUCGAAAGCGUGGGGAGCAAACAGG
rnacentral:rRNA from 1 species